UACGAAGGGGGCUAGCGUUGUUCGGAAUUACUGGGCGUAAAGCGCGCGCAGGCGGUCUUCCAAGUCAGUGGUGAAAGCCCGGAGCUCAACUCCAGAACUGCCUUCGAUACUGGGAGCUCGAGUCCGGGAGAGGUGAGUGGAACUGCGAGUGUAGAGGUGAAAUUCGUAGAUAUUCGCAAGAACACCAAAUGGCGAAGGCGGCUCACUGGCCCGGUACUGACGCUGAGGUGCCGAAAGGACGUGGGGAGCAAACAGG
rnacentral:rRNA from 1 species